rnacentral:rRNA from 1 species
ANAGUUUGAUCAUGGCUCAGAUUGAACGCUGGCGGCAGGCCUAACACAUGCAAGUCGAGCGCGAAAGGUCUUCGGACUGAGUAGAGCGGCGGACGGGUGAGUAACGCGUAGGAAUCUACCUGGUAGUGGGGGACAACUCGGGGAAACUCGAGCUAAUACCGCAUACGCCCUAAGGGGGAAAGCGGGGGAUCUUCGGACCUCGCGCUAUCGGAUGAGCCUGCGUUGGAUUAGCUAGUUGGUGGGGUAAAGGCCCACCAAGGCGACGAUCCAUAGCUGGUCUGAGAGGAUGAUCAGCCACACCGGGACUGAGACACGGCCCGGACUCCUACGGGAGGCAGCAGUGGGGAAUAUUGCGCAAUGGGGGAAACCCUGACGCAGCCAUGCCGCGUGUGUGAAGAAGGCCUUCGGGUUGUAAAGCACUUUCACAUGGGAAGAAAAGUUCGUAGCUAAUACCUGCGAGCCGUGACAUUACCAUGACAAGAAGCACCGGCUAACUCCGUGCCAGCAGCCGCGGUAAUACGGAGGGUGCAAGCGUUAAUCGGAAUUACUGGGCGUAAAGCGCGCGUAGGCGGUUUAUUAAGUCGGAUGUGAAAGCCCCGGGCUCAACCUGGGAAUUGCACCCGAUACUGGUCGACUAGAGUGCGAGAGAGGGAGGUAGAAUUCCACGUGUAGCGGUGAAAUGCGUAGAUAUGUGGAGGAAUACCGGUGGCGAAGGCGGCCUCCUGGCUCGACACUGACGCUGAGGUGCGAAAGCGUGGGGAGCAAAC